GAGGCUAUAGCUCAAGUGGUAGAGCACAUGCUUAGCAUGCACAAAGUCCUGGGUUCAAUCCCCAGGACCUCC
rnacentral:tRNA from 1 species